rnacentral:rRNA from 1 species
AGCGAACGCUGGCGGCAGGCCUAACACAUGCAAGUCGAGCGCCGUAGCAAUACGGAGCGGCAGACGGGUGAGUAACGCGUGGGAACGUGCCCUUUAGUUCGGAAUAACCCAGGGAAACUUGGGCUAAUACCGGAUACGCCCUUCGGGGGAAAGAUUUAUCGCUAAAGGAUCGGCCCGCGUAAGAUUAGUUAGUUGGUGAGGUAACGGCUCACCAAGGCUACGAUCUUUAGCUGUUCUGAGAGGAAGAUCAGCCACACUGGGACUGAGACACGGCCCAGACUCCUACGGGAGGCAGCAGUGGGGAAUAUUGGACAAUGGGCGAAAGCCUGAUCCAGCCAUGCCGCGUGAGUGAUGAAGGCCUUAGGGUUGUAAAGCUCUUUUACCAGGGAAGAUAAUGACGGUACCUGGAGAGUAAGCCCCGGCUAACUUCGUGCCAGCCGCCGCGGUAACAC